ensembl:lncRNA
UUGGCUUCCCAGCGAGGAUGGAACAGAACAUGUGCUAGUUCAAUGGUAGCAGUAGCUACGUAAUGCGAAGCAGCUUCCUGCACCCACAGCUAUUCCCUGUAGCAUGAAUAGAGUUUGAGUCAAUGAUGAGAUUUAGCCCAAGUGAAAGCAGAGCUUCCCUGAGAACAGAUCAGUGAAACAGAAGAGGUGUUUAGAGCAAGUAAAAAGAAUGAAGCAGGAGGAGGCUUUAGAGUGAAGGCUCAGGUAGUCACAGGUAAGAUUGUGCUGUUUAUGUCUCCUUUGAAAAAGUCCAAAAACGACUCCACAUGCUCAACUCUCUGUUUGAAGGAAACAGACUCUAUUCUGCUGAAAUAUGAUUUUGGAGCCAUGACAGUUAGUUUUAUGUGUCAACCUGACUGGUCUGAUUAAACAUAACUUCAGGGUGUGUCUGUGAGGGUGUGUCUGGAUAAGAUUAGCAGUUGAAUCAGUGGGCUCCCUAAAGUAGAUCACUCUCCCAAGUGCUGGUGGGCAUUAUCCAAUUCAUUAUAGGCUGGUGUAGAAUCCUAAACAGAAUAGAGAAAGAGGUAUUUACCCUUUUUGCUUCCUACCUCCUUGAGCUGGGACACUGACCUUCUCCUGAACUUGAACUAGAAUUUAUGACAUCAGUUCCUCUGGUUCUCAGACCUUCGGACUUAGACUGUAAUUACACCACUAGUUUUCCUGGGUCUCUAGCUUAUAGAUGCAUUUCAUGGGACUUCUCAGCCUUUGUAAUGACUUGCGUCAAUUCCUCAAAUAAAUCUCUUUACCUACAUGUAUAUUGUUAACCUAAAACAAUAAAGCAGCCAGUUAUUUUACCAGUAAAAUAGGUUCAUUCUGGAGCAGCAAAGGAUUGCCAUUCAGGGCACACAAUGAUGGUAAACCACAUGGUAAAACAAAGGAGAAGAAACUUUUUUUAUAGAGUAGAAUAAAGAGUUGGGAGGGGUUAUUACAGAGUCCAAUGGGGGAAACUGAAAGUAGGAAGUAUCGGCUUUUCAUUGGUUCAGCUCAGUUCAGUUCAGUUGCUCAGUCGUGUCCAACUCUUUGCGACCCCAUGAAGCACAGCAUGCCAGGCCUCCCUGUCCAUCAUCAACUCCCUGAGUUCACUCAAACUCAUGUCCAUGGAGUCGGUGAUGCCAUCCAGCCAUCUCACCCUCUGUCGUCCCCUUCUC